GACGAACGCUGGCGGCGUGCCUAAUACAUGCAAGUAGAACGCUGAAGGAGGAGCUUGCUUCUCUGGAUGAGUUGCGAACGGGUGAGUAACGCGUAGGUAACCUGCCUGGUAGCGGGGGAUAACUAUUGGAAACGAUAGCUAAUACCGCAUAAUAUUGACUAUUGCAUGAUAGUCAGUUGAAAGGUGCAACUGCACCACUACCAGAUGGACCUGCGUUGUAUUAGCUAGUUGGUGGGGUAACGGCUCACCAAGGCGACGAUACAUAGCCGACCUGAGAGGGUGAUCGGCCACACUGGGACUGAGACACGGCCCAGAAUCCUACGGGAGGCAGCAGUAGGGAAUCUUCGGCAAUGGACGGAAGUCUGACCGAGCAACGCCGCGUGAGUGAAGAAGGUUUUCGGAUCGUAAAGCUCUGUUGUAAGAGAAGAACGAGUGUGAGAGUGGAAAGCUCACACUGUGACGGUAUCUUACCAGAAAGGGACGGCUAACUACGUG
rnacentral:rRNA from 1 species